rnacentral:rRNA from 1 species
UACGAAGGGGACUAGCGUUGUUCGGAAUUACUGGGCGUAAAGGGCUCGUAGGCGGCCAACUAAGUCAGACGUGAAAUCCCUCGGCUUAACCGGGGAACUGCGUCUGAUACUGGAUGGCUUGAAUCCGGGAGAGGGAUGCGGAAUUCCAGGUGUAGCGGUGAAAUGCGUAGAUAUCUGGAGGAACACCGGUGGCGAAGGCGGCAUCCUGGACCGGCAUUGACGCUGAGGAGCGAAAGCCAGGGGAGCAAACGGG